UACGGGGGGGGCAAGCGUUGUUCGGAAUUACUGGGCGUAAAGAGCUCGUAGGCGGUUUGUUGCGUCUAUCGUGAAAACCUGCGGCUUAACUGUGGGCUUGCGGUGGAUACGGGCAGACUUGAGUUCGGUAGGGGAGACUGGAAUUCCUGGUGUAGCGGUGAAAUGCGCAAGAUAUCAGGAAGAACACCGACGGCGAAGGCAGCUCGCUGGGACGGUACUGACGCUGAGGCGCGAAAGCGUGGGGAGCGAACAGG
rnacentral:rRNA from 1 species